rnacentral:rRNA from 1 species
AGAGCGAACGCUGGCGGCAGGCCUAACACAUGCAAGUCGAACGGACUCUUCGGAGUUAGUGGCGGACGGGUGAGUAACACGUGGGAACGUGCCUUUAGGUUCGGAAUAGCUCCUGGAAACGGGUGGUAAUGCCGAAUGUGCCCUUCGGGGGAAAGAUUUAUCGCCUUUAGAGCGGCCCGCGUCUGAUUAGCUAGUUGGUGAGGUAAAGGCUCACCGAGGCUACGAUCAGUAGCUGGUCUGAGAGGAUGACCAGCCACAUUGGGACUGAGACACGGCCCAAACUCCUACGGGAGGCAGCAGUGGGAAUCUUGCGCAAUGGGCGAAAGCCUGACGCAGCCAUGCCGCGUGAAUGAUGAAGGUCUUAGGAUUGUAAAAUUCUUUCAGUAGGACGAUAAUGACGGUACUACAGAAGAAGCCCGGCUAACUUCGUGCCAGCAGCCGC